rnacentral:snoRNA from 1 species
AUGACGACUGAAUCCAAUGCUGAGCAAAGGCGAUGAUUGGCCCCAGAGUGGCUGA